rnacentral:rRNA from 1 species
UACGGAGGUUGCAAGCGUUAUCCGGAAUGAUUGGGCGUAAAGGGUGCGCAGGCGGACUGGUAAGUCAGUGGUGAAAUCUCGUCGCUUAACGACGAAACUGCCUUUGAUACUAUCAGUCUUGAAUCCGGUAGAGAUCUGUGGAAUUCAGAGUGUAGCAGUGAAAUGUGUAGAUAUUCGGAAGAACACCAGUGGCGAAGGCAGCAGAUUGGACCGGUAUUGACGCUCAGGCACGAAAGCAUGGGGAUCAAACAGG